GUGGGGAAUAUUGGACAAUGGGGGGAACCCUGAUCCAGCCAUGCCGCGUGUGUGAAGAAGGCCUUUUGGUUGUAAAGCACUUUAAGCGAGGAGGAGGCUACCGAGAUUAAUACUCUUGGAUAGUGGACGUUACUCGCAGAAUAAGCACCGACUAACUCUGUGCCAGCAGCCGCGGUAAUACAGAGGGUGCAAGCGUUAAUCGGAUUUACUGGGCGUAAAGCGCGCGUAGGUGGCCAAUUAAGUCAAAUGUGAAAUCCCCGGGCUUAACUUGGGAAUUGCAUUCGAUACUGGUUGGCUAGAGUAUGGGAGAGGAUGGUAGAAUUCCAGGUGUAGCGGUGAAAUGCGUAGAGAUCUGGAGGAAUACCGAUGGCGAAGGCAGCCAUCUGGCCUAAUACUGACACUGAGGUGCGAAAGCAUGGGGAGCAAACAGGAUUAGAUACCCUUGUAGUCC
rnacentral:rRNA from 1 species